rnacentral:rRNA from 1 species
UAAUGUCUGGGAAACGGCCUGAUGGAGGGGGAUAACUGCUGGAAACGGUAGCUAAUACCGCAUAACGUCGCAAGACCAAAGAGGGGACCUUCGGGCCUCAUGCCAUCAGAUGUGCCCAGAUGGGAUUAGCUAGUAGGUGGGGUAACGGCUCACCUAGGCGACGAUCCCUAGCUGGUCUGAGAGGAUGACCAGCCACACUGGAACUGAGACACGGUCCAG